CCACACAUUUCUUAAUUACAGGUAGUCUUCGAGGUACGAAGGGCCAUUUAAUCACUGUUCGAAGUUACGAAUGCCCUCCCAAAAAUGGACUUAAGGCAUGGGUUCGAAACUGCAACCAAAAAGAAGCCUCUGGAAUCAUGUCACCUGGAUUCAGUCACUCCUGAAGCAGUGGCCAUUUUUAGUCCUAUGUCUGCCCUGGUCACCCACAGUUACAACAGGUGAUUUCUGAGGCCUAUAUGGUUGGCACAUUUUUUUUCUCUCCUGGUCACGUGAUCAACCAAGAUCUUUGCAGCAGGUGCUUACUUUUUUCCCCUCCUCACUGCUGCCAGAUAGAGGACUAAAGAGUGAAUUUCUCAUUGCUGCCCUUCUUGCUUCUUUCGUUGCUGUUGCCUUGAGGACUAGAGUACUAUAGUUGCCUUGGAGCAGCUAAGUGGCACUGGAUGUAAGAAUUAAAAACCUGAACAGCAUGCUGAGUGAAGAAGCCUUUGUGGAAAUGUUUAUCAUCUUGUACCAAGGAUUCAUAGUACUGAAACUGAGGUAUACUUUCACAGAAUUUUGACAAACGAUCCAAAGGAUAUAAUUUGGAGGAAGAAAAUUCCAGCUUAAGACCUGAUUGGCUAGUGCAAGGUAACGUUGAAAAACCGAAGACAUCUGAGCAUUAAGAUUUUCACGCCGGCUGAAUUCCUGUAGUACCUCUACGGUGAGCAUAAAGAUCUGACGGAGAUCGUCCUCCUGUGCAGAAU